GGCGUCCUUCGGGCUGUCCGAGUUGUAAUCUAUAGAAGUGUUUUCCGUGCCGGACCAUGUCCAAGUCCCUUGGAACAGGGUAUCAAAGAGGGUGACAAUCCCGUACUUGACAUGACCACCGGUGCUCUGUGAUACACUUUCUACGAGUCGAGUUGUUUGGGAAUGCAGCUCAAAAUGGGUGGUAAAUUCCAUCUAAAGCUAAAUAUUGGCGAGAGACCGAUAGCGAACAAGUACCGUGAGGGAAAGAUGAAAAGCACUUUGGAAAGAGAGUUAAACAGUACGUGAAAUUGUUGAAAGGGAAACGAUUGAAGUCAGUCGUGUUCUUUGGACUCAGCCGGUUCUUCCGGUCUAUUUCCUUUGAACGGGUCAACAUCAGUUUUGUCCGGUGGAUAAAGGCAGGAAGAAAGUGGCUCCCUCGGGAGUGUUAUAGCUUUCUGUCACAUACACUGGAGGAGACUGAGGACUGCAGCUCGCCUUUUGGCCGGGGUUCGCCCACGUUCGAGCUUAGGAUGUUGACAUAAUGGCU
rnacentral:rRNA from 1 species